UCCACCGUUCCUCCCAGCUGCAGAAG
rnacentral:piRNA from 1 species